GCGGAGGCCGUAGACCACCGGGUGGACGCCUUGCGCGGAGGCAUCGAGUGCUGAUCUCGCGGGGGAAGAUUAGGAGUGGGUGACAGAGAGAUGGUCGGAGACGGCUCCGUUGAACACUCCUUCAAGAACAAGGGUGCUGCGAAGGUUCAGGGCCCCUCCUAGCGCCAAUCCUGUUGGUGCAAAAAUCUGCUUGCACUGGAGAAGCUGGAGUCGGGGAAGCCGUGGUCGCCGUCGGGACCUGCAAGGGAAGUCUAAACCGAAGGUG
rnacentral:lncRNA from 1 species